UACAGAGGUCCCGAGCGUUGUUCGGAUUUAUUGGGCGUAAAGGGUGCGUAGGUGGCAAAGUAAGUUGGAUGUGAAAUCCUGGGGCUCAACCUCAGAAUUGCAUUCAAUACUGCUUAGCUAGAGAGCUGUAGAGGAGACUGGAAUUUACGGUGUAGCAGUGAAAUGCGUAGAUAUCGUAAGGAAGACCAGUGGCGAAGGCGAGUCUCUGGACAGUUACUGACACUGAGGCACGAAGGCUAGGGGAGCAAACGGG
rnacentral:rRNA from 1 species